CAUCAUCUUUUGAUUUUUCUUUACCAAUGUAUUGUACUUCUAAGAAACGAGGUGGAAUAUCGGAACCAGCAUUCACGGUAAGUAAACCGUUCAUCUUUUGCUCAUCAAUCCACUUCUCAUCGUGAACGAAUACUUUAACCUUUGAGGAAUUUUGGAAUAACUCUUGAGCAAAAUGACAAAAUUGAAGAGAAGUCAUGUAAUUAGCAGGACAUUCCA